GUUGAAGCUGUAGCAGCAACUGGUUCUGUCAAAGUCUCAACUGACGGAGUCACAAUUGUUAACAAUAAUACAGAGCUAGAAGGUGUUAUUGUUAAUGAUGGUCCCAUGUGUUCAGAUGCAAUUGUACUGAAUAGAAGCCAUCAUUCUCAAGAUGUUAUUUUAAAUUGUGAAGUCGAUAUAAACUAUCAGAUUUCGACAACAACUCUCCAAGCUAAAUGGAAAUAUCCGACCAACUUAACAGAAGUUAUCAACAAUGUAUAUUGGAG